rnacentral:lncRNA from 1 species
AGUACAUUGCAGGCAUGCUAUGAAGGGAUUGUGGAGUGGGAAGUGACUGCAGCCAAGAGACUGCUGGAACAAGAGGCACAAAGCUUGGGUGUUCAGAUAAUAACUGUUUCAAGCAAUUGUCAAUCAGAAAAUCUUUGAAUCUACCUAUGACCUGGGAGCCCUGCCCCUUUGAGUUGUCCUGUCUUUCCAGAUGGAACCAACAUACAUCUUACAGGAAGCUGUUGGAGAAUGUAUUCCACCAAAAUAAGAGAGUGAACUAAUACAGAGGAUGCAGGAGAACAAGAGAUCCAAGCAGAGACCUGCAAAAAUUUUCUAGGGUGAUGGAAAAAGAGACCCUGGGACCAAAGCAAUGCACAGAAAAAGGGUGCACAUAGCACCCAGUCAUCAGGUUCUGAGGGAUAUUACUUCACGAUGAAAUUGAUAGAAUAUCUGUGCAUCUGAGUGUCUUCAGAUGAGAUUCAGAUAACUGGCAGGGACUUGGAGUUAAAUAUAGUACAAAGUAUGUAGAAAGCUGGGCACGUAAAAACAAGACAGUUAUCAACCACAGAAAAAAAACAAAAUCUUAUGACAAAAGUAAUCAUAGUUUAAUUUGUCUUAGUCAUGAAAGUAUUUACAUAAUCAUAAUCAUGCAACUACUAAAUACUGAUCUAACAAAAAUAACAAUGUAACAGCCUUGGAAAGAUGGUGAGAUGGAAAGGAGGCAUGUUGUGGUAAGAAUGUGAUAAAGGGAGAGACUUGAAAGCUAUUUCCUUGGUGGGACGCUGAGAAAUUAAGAGGUAGUAAGAAGAGAAUAUUGUUUAGCAUAUGAAGGUAAAUAUCAACAAGAGUCGAAAGUGAUUGUAGAGGAAAAAAUGGGAGAGAGGACAAGAAAGUACUAUAUUUCACAAUAUACUUUGUAUAACUGUGACAAAAAUAGCAAGUAAAAACAGAAAAAGAAAGAAGAAAUCACCUCAAAUGUUAUGCAUGAGAGAUUGUUUUUAUACUGCUUUUGCUCUAAAAGCAUUUCUGAUGGAAUUGAGUAUCACAGGAGAUUGCAGUGUGUUCCCCAACAUCCUCCCAUCUUUACUAAGACACGAUUCACUGGGGUCAGUUGAGAUUAAAAGAGGUUGCUCAGAGACAAGACAAGGCUGUCGUUGCCAUCUGUCUAACUGCACCUUAUGGUUAUUAGAUGAAAAUCAUCUGCUGACCUUCAUCUUCAAAAUCUUGUUCAUAAAUCUUUUACCAAUCAAGCUGAGACCUUCCCUGUACAAGGUGCUUUCUAGACUUCAACCAUUGAUCACGAUGAUGCAGUUUGGUAUGAUGUGUCUUCCUGGAGCAGUUUUAAGUGUUUGAUUCAAAAGUGAAAUCUUUGUGGAGCUGCCAUACUUUACAGCACUACACUGAGCUACAACUAAAGGCACACAUUGCAAGUGUGGUGCUUGAAUUUCAUUUAAACAAUUAAGCAAACUCGAAUCCAUCAGACUCAGCAAAACCCCAUGGCGAUGAUUUCGUACCAGAGCAGUUCUGAGAUACUUAAAAUAAUAAUAUCUACAUUUUAUUGAAUGCUUAUUAUAUGCCAGGUAGUGUGGUAAAUACUUACACUAUCUUAUUUAGUAGUAAAAACAACUCUAUAAAUAGCUACUAUUAUUAUCUCCAUUAUAUAGAUAAGGAAAUCCAGGAUUAUGGAGAUUAGGACCCUUGCCCAAUGUCUUUGGCUAGGAAUUAGGAAAACAAAAAUCAAGACCAGAAUUGGAUUCAGAAACUGUUCUUUUAGAACUCUGUCUUCGCUAAGGAAGGGUCAUCAUAAUAUCAAAAAUAUGCCAUUGAAAGUGAUGGGUGAGUUUGGAGACAAACAUAUUUCUGAAGUGAGUCUUCAUAUAUUUAAGCAUAGAUGAGUUUGAGAAAAUUCAUAUAGCACAGUUGCAAAAUGCACGUAUAUUAGUACUUGCAUAGUUUUUAGUCUGUUAUAAUUCUGAGUCUUAUUUAUAGAUCUUAAGGAAAUAAUUUUUUUUUUU